CCUACGGGGGGCUGCAGUGGGGAAUAUUGGACAAUGGGGGCAACCCUGAUCCAGCCAUGCCGCGUGUGUGAAGAAGGCCCUCGGGUUGUAAAGCACUUUCAGUGAGGAAGAACGCCUGGUGGUUAAUACCCAUCAGGAAAGACAUCACUCACAGAAGAAGCACCGGCUAACUCCGUGCCAGCAGCCGCGGUAAUACGGAGGGUGCGAGCGUUAAUCGGAAUUACUGGGCGUAAAGCGCGCGUAGGUGGCUUGAUAAGCCGGUUGUGAAAGCCCCGGGCUCAACCUGGGAGCGGCAUCCGGAACUGUCAAGCUAGAGUGCAGGAGAGGAAGGUAGAAUUCCCGGUGUAGCGGUGAAAUGCGUAGAGAUCGGGAGGAAUACCAGUGGCGAAGGCGGCCUUCUGGACUGACACUGACACUGAGGUGCGAAAGCGUGGGUAGCAAACAGGAUUAGAUACCCGGGUAGUC
rnacentral:rRNA from 1 species